rnacentral:rRNA from 1 species
GUUUGUUUGAAGUUAUAAAGAAUUUGACCUGCCCCCUGAUUAACAAUUAAAGGGCCGCAGUAUUAUAACUGUGCAAAGGUAGCAUAAUCAUUAGGUUUUUAAUUGGAAUCUUGCAUGAAUGGUUGGACAAAAGAAAGACUCUCUUUAUAUUAAAUUUUGAAUUUAACUUUUAAGUGAAAAGGCUUAAAUAUUCUAAAGGGACGAUAAGACCCUAUAAAACUUUACAUUGUGAUUAAUUUUAGUUGAAUUUGUAAAAUAAGAAUUUUAUUUGGUUAUUUGUUAUGUUGGGGAGACAUAAGUAAAAUAAUAUUUUAACUGCUUAAUAAUUAUACAAUUAUUAGUGAGUAAUAGAAGAUCCUUUUU